GAGACAAGGCAAGAAGGGCAUUCUAUGCCAUCAAAAGGAACAUAAAUUUCAACAUACCAAUUAGGAUUUGGCUAUAAAUACUUGAAUCAGUCAUAGAGCCCAUCGCCCUUUAUGGUUGUGAGGUGUGGGGUCCGCUCACCAACCAAGACUUCACAAAAUGGGGCAAACACCAAAUUGAGACUCUGCACGCAGAAUUCUGCAAAAAUAUCCUCCGUGUACAAUGUAGAACACCAAAUAAUGCAUGCAGAGCAGAAUUAGGCCGAUACCCACUAAUUAUCAAAAUCCAGAAAAGAGCCGUUAAAUUCUAUAACCACCUAAAAGGAAGCGAUUCCCAAACCUUCUACAACAAAGCCAUCACCUACAGAGAGAUGAACCUGGAGAAGAGUCCCCUAAGCAAGCUGGUCCUGGGGCUCUGUUCACAAACACAAACACACCCUACAGAGCCCCAGGACAGCAGCACAAUUAGACCCAACCAAAUCAUGAGAAAACAAAAAGAUAAUUACUUGACACAUUGGAAAGAAUUAACAAAAAAACAGAGCAAACUAGAAUGCUAUUUGGCCCUACACAGAGAGUACACAGCGGCAGAAUACCUGACAACUGUGACUGACCCAAAAUUAAGGAAAGCUUUGACUAUGUACAGACUCAGUGAUCAUAGCCUUGCAAUUGAGAAAGGCUGCCGUAGGCAGACAAGGCUCUCAAGAGAAGACAGGCUAUGUGCUCACCCCCCACAAAAUGAGGUGGAAACCGAGCUGCACUUCCUAACCUCCUGCCCAAUGUAUGACCAUAUUAGAGAGACAUAUUUCCCUCAGAUUACACAGAUCCACCAAGAAUUCAAAAACAAAUCCAAUUUUGAAAAACUCCCUACUGGGUGAAAUUCCACAGUGUGCCAUCAGAGCAGCAAGAUUUGUGACCUGUUGCCACGAGAAAAGGGCAACCAGUGAAGAACACGCACCAUUGUAAAUACAACCCAUAUCUAUGCUUAUUUAUUUUAUCUUGUGUCCUUUACCAUUUGUACAUUGUUAAAACACUGUAUAUAUAAAUAAUAUGACAUUUGUAAUGUCUUUAUUGUUUUGAAACUUCUGUAUGUGUGAUGUCUACUGUUAAUUUAUAUUGUUUAUUUCACUUUAUAUAUUUUCUACCUUACUUGCUUUGGCAAUGUUAACACAUGUUUUCCAUGCCAAUAAAGCCCUUGAAUUGAAUUGAGAGAGAGACAAACACACACACACACACACACUAUCCUGGCCCAAUUUUAUUUUAAUUAUCAAGUAAAAUGGCGGGAAACAGGGGACCCCAUUGAUGGGCGCUUCGCCCCUUUUUUCAGUUUGAAUGUUUCUUUCCUUCUCUUCUACUGCUAGCAAGCUACAUUUUAUAAAAAACUUCACCCACCCUUAAAAAAGUGCUUUCUGGACCGUUUGUCGAAAUUCUUUUGAAUUUUGUGUCAAUUACACACGUAUAAGAACUGUA